AGAGUUUGAUCCUGGCUCAGAUUGAACGCUGGCGGCAUGCUUUACACAUGCAAGUCGGACGGCAGCACAGAGAAGCUUGCUUCUUGGGUGGCGAGUGGCGAACGGGUGAGUAACAUAUCGGAACGUACCGAGCAGUGGGGGAUAACUAAUCGAAAGAUUAGCUAAUACCGCAUAUAUUCUGAGGAAGAAAGCAGGGGACCAUUUGGCCUUGCGCUGUUUGAGCGGCCGAUAUCUGAUUAGCUAGUUGGUGGGGUAAAGGCCUACCAAGGCGACGAUCAGUAGCGGGUCUGAGAGGAUGAUCCGCCACACUGGGACUGAGACACGGCCCAGACUCCUACGGGAGGCAGCAGUGGGGAAUUUUGGACAAUGGGCGCAAGCCUGAUCCAGCCAUGCCGCGUGUCUGAAGAAGGCCUUCGGGUUGUAAAGGACUUUUGUCAGGGAAGAAAAGGGCGGGGUUAAUACCCCUGUCUGAUGACGGUACCUGAAGAAUAAGCACCGGCUAACUACGUGCCAGCAGCCGCGGUAAUACGUAGGGUGCGAGCGUUAAUCGGAAUUACUGGGCGUAAAGCGGGCGCAGACGGUUACUUAAGCAGGAUGUGAAAUCCCCGGGCUCAACCUGGGAACUGCGUUCUGAACUGGGUGACUAGAGUGUGUCAGAGGGAGGUAGAAUUCCACGUGUAGCAGUGAAAUGCGUAGAGAUGUGGAGGAAUACCGAUGGCGAAGGCAGCCUCCUGGGAUAACACUGACGUUCAUGCCCGAAAGCGUGGGUAGCAAACAGGAUUAGAUACCCUGGUAGUCCACGCCCUAAACGAUGUCGAUUAGCUGUUGGGCAGCAUGACUGCUUAGUAGCGAAGCUAACGCGUGAAAUCGACCGCCUGGGGAGUACGGUCGCAAGAUUAAAACUCAAAGGAAUUGACGGGGACC
rnacentral:rRNA from 1 species